rnacentral:rRNA from 1 species
UACGUAGGGGGCUAGCGUUGUCCGGAAUCAUUGGGCGUAAAGAGCGUGUAGGCGGCUCGGUAAGUCCGCUGUGAAAGUCCAGGGCUCAACCCUGGAAUGCCAGUGGAAACUGUCGAGCUAGAGUCCGGAAGAGGCGAGUGGAAUUCCUGGUGUAGCGGUGAAAUGCGCAGAUAUCAGGAGGAACACCGGUGGUGUAGACGGCUUUCUGGACCGUAACUGACGCUGAGACGCGAAAGCGUGGGGAGCGAACAGG